CUCUUAUUGAGAGAGGCGGAGGGACUGGCCCUGUGAAGCCCGGCAACCAUUUAACAUUCUUGUUGAAAAGGUGCUACAUCCUGCAAAGCGUACAGCUUUGAAAAAUAAGAG
rnacentral:ncRNA from 3 species